rnacentral:pre_miRNA from 1 species
ACAACAUUCGGACCUUGGAUCAACCGAGCAUUUGCACCCGCUUGAUGGAAUAUCUUCCCUUUGUCGU